rnacentral:rRNA from 1 species
UACGUAGGUGGCGAGCGUUGUCCGGAUUUACUGGGCGUAACGAGCGCGCAGGCGGUCGUACAAGUCGCGUGUGAAAGCCCCUGGCUCAACUGGGGAGGGUCACGCGAUACUGUUCGACUUGAAGGCAGGAGAGGGAAGUGGAAUUCCCGGUGUAGUGGUGAAAUGCGUAGACAUCGGGAGGAACACCAGUGGCGAAGGCGACUUCCUGGCCUGUUCUUGACGCUGAGGCGCGAAAGCUAGGGUAGCAAACGGG